UUUACUUUUAACGGGAAACGCGGUUAUUGCCAUCAGAAGACUUUGGUUGGCUAAGGAGAAAAGGUGUUUGUUGGCAUACCAUUUCUGGACGUGGGAAAGAGUCCAUAGAAUGCUAUGCCUUGAUAGCAACAAAGCCAACUAGCAGAGCCGAUUCGGGGAUCGGUGGGAUGCCGUAGCUUUAAGAGAUAGGGGCGGAGGCAAUCGGAAAGG
rnacentral:lncRNA from 1 species